rnacentral:rRNA from 1 species
UACAGAGGGUGCGAGCGUUAAUCGGAAUUACUGGGCGUAAAGCGUGCGUAGACGGUUAUUUGAGUCGGGUGUGAAAGCCCCGGGCUCAACCUGGGAAUUGCAUUCGAGACUGAAUAGCUAGGGUACAGUAGAGGGAAGCGGAAUUUCCGGUGUAGCGGUGAAAUGCGUAGAUACGACAUAGAACACCAAUUGCGAAGGCAGCUCGUUACACGAAUAUUGACUCUGAGGCACGAAAGCGUGGGGAUCAAACAGG